rnacentral:lncRNA from 1 species
AGCCAGUGGCUCACGAUUGUCAUCACUAGAGUCAUUUGAUGUCCAUCAUCAUGCAGCGGAAAUUUUAGACCCAACUGAGCGGGCUUGGGUGAAAAUGGCUAGCAAAUACAAGGCAAGCCCAUACGUCGACCCCUUAGUGAGCCGUCGGGAUGUAAAGAGCACAACGGUUAAAGCGUACGAAGCUUGCAAGAAAGACGAGUGCGCGAG